rnacentral:rRNA from 1 species
GAUGAACGCUGGCGGCGUGCUUAACACAUGCAAGUCGAACGGAAAGGCCCUGCUUUUGUGGGGUGCUCGAGUGGCGAACGGGUGAGUAACACGUGAGUAACCUGCCCUUGACUUUGGGAUAACUUCAGGAAACUGGGGCUAAUACCGGAUAGGAGCUCCUGCUGCAUGGUGGGGGUUGGAAAGUUUCGGCGGUUGGGGAUGGACUCGCGGCUUAUCAGCUUGUUGGUGGGGUAGUGGCUUACCAAGGCUUUGACGGGUAGCCGGCCCGAGAGGGUGACCGGCCACAUUGGGACUGAGAUACGGCCCAGACUCCUACGGGAGGCAGCAGUGGGGAAUAUUGCACAAUGGGCGGAAGCCUGAUGCAGCAACGCCGCGUGCGGGAUGACGGCCUUCGGGUUGUAAACCGCUUUCGCCUGUGACGAAGCGUGAGUGACGGUAAUGGGUAAAGAAGCACCGGCUAACUACGUG